UCCCUGGUGGUCCAGUGGCUAAGACUCUGUGCUCCCAAUGCAGAGGGCGCCGGUUUGAUCCCUGAUCAGGGAA
rnacentral:tRNA from 1 species